rnacentral:rRNA from 1 species
GACGAACGCUGGCGGCGUGCCUAAUACAUGCAAGUUGAGCGCUGAAGGUUGGUACUUGUACCGACUGGAUGAGCAGCGAACGGGUGAGUAACGCGUGGGGAAUCUGCCUUUGAGCGGGGGACAACAUUUGGAAACGAAUGCUAAUACCGCAUAAAAACUUUAAACACAAGUUUUAAGUUUGAAAGAUGCAAUUGCAUCACUCAAAGAUGAUCCCGCGUUGUAUUAGCUAGUUGGUGAGGUAAAGGCUCACCAAGGCGAUGAUACAUAGCCGACCUGAGAGGGUGAUCGGCCACAUUGGGACUGAGACACGGCCCAAACCCCUACGGGAGGCAGCAGUAGGGAAUCUUCGGCAAUGGACGAAAGUCUGACCGAGCAACGCCGCGUGAGUGAAGAAGGUUUUCGGAUCGUAAAACUCUGUUGGUAGAGAAGGACGUUGGUGAGAGUGGAAAGCUCAUCAAGUGACGGUAACUACCCAGAAAGGGACGGCUAACUACGUG